AUGCUCAAAGGUCCAGAGCGCAGAGACAAGGGUAGCCAAGAGCCAAGUUAUCGCUCCAGCGGCGCAGGCCUCCAGGACGGAGCAAUCGGGAACUCCGAUUUCAAGGACGGAGCAAUCGGGGACUUCGAUGUCAAGGACGGAGCAAUCGGGGACUCCGAUGUCAAGGACGGAGCAAUCAGGGACGCCAAUCUCGCGGACGGAGCAAUCGGGUACUCCGAUCUCGCGGACGGAGCAAUCGGAGACUCCCAUCUCGAGACACUCGGUAGCGGACCUGCGGAGCUUCCUGCCCGCUCGACGUACCCGAAGCUGAAGCAGCCGAAAGACUUCCAGCCGAAGCUGAGCAACUACUACGAGAACUUCAAGCUCCGCUCGGGCGAGCCGCGGGUCCAGCGCAGCAUCUCGGAGCCCUCGGGGUCGCAAGCCCCGAGCCUCUCCUCCACCCCCGACGCAGGGGCCAUGCACCCGGAGCCCAUUCCACCCCGCAACGAGUCCCGCACCCGACUCACCGACCCCUACUCCCAGUUCUUCAACGACAAGCGCCGCACCUUCCACGAGGGCGAGACCUUCGCUCCGUUGAGCAAGUCCUUCUUCCGCUCGUCCAACCCCCAGCUAAACGAGGAGAGCAAAAGCAACGACCGGAGCUGGCGGGCAUCCAGCUAUUGUGAAUUCACCGACGAUGGAGGAAAGACACUCGACACUCGGAACUGCCAGACGCUGAAGCGGGACUCUAGAACCCAAGCUCAGACUAAAUCAGCGACAUACGUUCGGUGUAACUCGAGCAUUCCUUUCUUCCACGAGAGCGAUACCAAAGAGUCUGAGAAGCCCACCAACAACACGUUCUACUCGACGACCACGACGAAUCUCAAACCGAGAGUGUUUCCGUUCCCUCUCGAGUCGAGCGCAGGAAAUACCAAAGAGUAUGGUAGAGAAGUUGUGGAAACCUCGGAGGAUUACCAGGUGGGUGAGGCCACGAGAGAAGAAUGUUUCUCUCCCUAUGAUAAUCUCUCCGAUGGCCACGGGGAGGGUUUUUGUGGAAUGAAGAGAUCCACCGACGCGGAGGAGGUGUUUCAGCCCGUCAGAGGUGGCAAGAUAUUCAACCGAGCCACGCAGAGGUGGGAGUUCUCCGCCGCUCCGGUCACCUCCGAUCCCGCCUCGUCCUCCGAGCUGAAUCAAAGCGAAGAUCACAUCGAUAGUACUGAAACAUCGGUAACGGGAUGUUCGUAUGGAGAUGCGAUCCCUCAGAGCAAGAGCGAGCAAGAAUGUAGAGCCGAAAAAUCCGUGAGCGGAUCCUCGGCGGAGUAUCGAGAUAUCACGAAAGAAAACGUUUCCUCUAAGAACAUUAAAUCGAGCAUCACGAAGUUCUCGGACGAAGAAAGAAGCGACGGAGCCGCUGUCAUUUUGAACAACCGCAGAAUCAAUCUGAACGAGAGCAAAACGGAUGACAGUAAAUUGCAUUCGAAUUUGCAAAGUUAUUUAUUCGAGGGAAGCCAGAAAACCCAGCAUGCCGGCCAUCGAAGUGCGAACUCUGCGGAGGAGGCAAAUCUAGAAUCGAUGAAUUUUGAUGUUUACAUCAAUCGUUUCGAUACUUCGGUCAAUUCGGAGGGUUAUUCAAAAUAUCAAUCGCAGAUCGGUCCUCCGACUGGAACUCCGAAACAAUUUAAUCAAGAAAACUCAAAUUCUCGACGGGUUGACCCUCAAUAUUCACCGAUCAAAAUCGAAAAUCAGUCUCAAUCAAUAUCAAACGAUAGUCAGGAUGAUGUCUGCUUCAAUGAAAUCAAAUACAACUUGAGUAAAAUUUGUAACGACGGGGCGAGAUACACCACUGCUGCAGAAAAAACGCAAACAGUGAAAAAUGUCAAUUUCGAGAAGUCGCAGCUGAAGAGCGAAGCAAAUAUUUCUCAACAAAGUUACAAAAAUUUAGAACAAGUAAGGACAGAGAAACAAUUUGUGUCCGAUGAGAGAGACUUUUACGCUCAAUCCCAAAGUAGAAAGUCACAUUUUACAACGGAACAAUCGUAUAGUGAAAAUAGCUCGAUUGAACAAAGUUCUAUCGCUGAAAGAUCGGUAUAUAAAGAAAAUCAGUUCUAUGAGAACUUUAUGACUGCAGAUCAGCACGACAUAACGAGACAUUUCCAGCAUGUUUUCUCCAACCCACCUCAAACGGUGGAAGAAUCUAAAAGAGCCCGCAGCCCUGAAAAAACCAAACCAGUCACCUCGAGUCAAACAAUUCGCAAUAGCCCCGAAAAGCCGAACCGAUUCAGUCCCGAAAGAACAGCUCAAUUGAAGCCUGCGAACCGAACACUAACAAACAUUCAAGAUACGGCAUUCAAAAGUCCCGAAAAAGAGCAACCAUAUCAAACCGAACAUGUAUUGCCCCCUCCCGUAAUCCCAAACCUUUCUUCCAAGGAGACCAAAUUCAACAGCCUUGAAAAACCACCGCCGUAUCAACCUGAAAAAGCAUUGCCCCUUUUCCAACCACGGAUCUCGAGGAUGCAAAGUUCAACAUCGUUGAAACGACGCCAUAUCAACCUGAAAGAGCGCUGCCCCCCAUUCCAGCGACAAGCCAUCGGCCUCCCAUCAAACCAACUGUCAACGAGUAAGUUUCAAUUUUUAAUCUUUUACUUUUAA
rnacentral:lncRNA from 1 species